rnacentral:tRNA from 1 species
GCCAGCAUAGCUCAGUUGGCCAGAGCAGCUGAUUUGUAAUCAGCCGGUCGGGGGUUCGACUCCCUCUGCUGGCU